UACAGAGGUGGCAAGCGUUGUUCGGAAUUACUGGGCGUAAAGGGCGCGUAGGCGGUCUUGUCAGUCCCUUGUGAAAUCCCCCGGCUCAACUGGGGAACUGCACGGGAAACAGCAGGGCUUGAGUUCGGGAGAGGGAAGCGGAAUUCCGGGUGUAGCGGUGAAAUGCGUAGAGAUCCGGAGGAACACCAGCGGCGAAGGCGGCAUCCUGGACUGGUCCUGACACUCAGGAGCGAAAGCGUGGGGAGCGAUCCGG
rnacentral:rRNA from 1 species